GAUGAACGCUGGCGGCGUGCCUAAUACAUGCAAGUCGCGCGAAUGGAUUAAGAGCUUGCUCUUAUGAAGUUAGCGGCGGACGGGUGAGUAACACGUGGGUAACCUGCCCAUAAGACUGGGAUAACUCCGGGAAACCGGGGCUAAUACCGGAUAACAUUUUGAACCGCAUGGUUCGACAUUGAAAGGCGGCUUCGGCUGUCACUUAUGGAUGGACCCGCGUCGCAUUACCUAGUGGGUGAGGUAACGGCUCACCAAGGCAACGAUGCGUAGCCGACCUGAGAGGGUGUUCGGCGACACUGGGACUGAGACACGGCCCAGACACCAACGGGAGGCAGCAGUAGGGAAGCUUCCGCAAUGGACGAAAGUCGGACGGAGCAACGCCGCGUGAGUGAUGAAGGCUUUCGGGUCGUAAAACUCUGUUGUUAGGGAAGAACAAGUGCUAGUUGAAUAAGCUGACACCUUGACGGUACCUAACCAGAAAGCCACGGCUAACUACGUGCCAGCCGCCGCAGUAA
rnacentral:rRNA from 1 species